AAUAUUGCACAAUGGGGGAAACCCUGAUGCAGCGACGCCGCGUGAGCGAAGAAGGCCUUCGGGUCGUAAAGCUCUGUCCUAAGGGAAGAAACGGACGGUACCUUAGGAGGAAGCCCCGGCUAACUACGUGCCAGCAGCCGCGGUAAUAAGUAGGGGGCGAGCGUUAUCCGGAAUUACUGGGCGUAAAGGGUAUGUAGGCGGCUAUAUAAGUCAGGUGUGAAAUACCAGUGCUUAACACUGGAAUUGCAUUUGAAACUGGAAGGCUUGAGUAUCGGAGAGGGUAGUGGAAUUCCCAGUGUAGCGGUGGAAUGCGUAGAUAUUGGGAGGAACACCAGUGGCGAAGGCGACUACCUGGACGAAAACUGACGCUGAGGCACGAAAGCUAGGGGAGCAAACA
rnacentral:rRNA from 1 species